CUAUAGCGUGGUGCGUAAUUGAUAAAAACAUAGCCGCGCGCUUGGUCAAUCGUGUGAAACAACGGGUUCCAAUCAAACAUCGCCAACAUAAAGCUUGGCAACGUAUUCGCCACGAACAUCUUUCCCGACGCGAUCAUAUUGGCCCGCUG
rnacentral:ncRNA from 1 species